AAUACAAAUAAAUUCAGAGUAUUAACCCUAUAUCUUUCUUACGUUUUUGGGCUUCUUUUUCUAGAGGAGGUUCACAUUGCUUCUGGGGGCCUGGAUUUUCUACUUCGGGCCCACUUCCAGCUGCAACUCUUGUGGAACCUAACUUAUUUAGAGUCCUGAGCAAGGAUUUGCCAACAUCACUCCUUUGUAACAUGACAAAAAUUCACCAACAACUGUUUUCCUAAGGAGCCUAUUCUCUUUUUCGUGGAUUAUCAGCUCUCUUAUUAAAGUCUUUCUGUGUUGUCACAAGGAGUACAUUAGUGAGAUUCUUGGGGAAAGGUUUUCCUUUUGCAAAAACCUUUUAAACUUAUGAAUAUGUAGUUGAAAUAUGUAUCUUAUUUGAGUUUUCAAAUUUUUUAGGAUCAUAAAGUAGUCUGAAACUAUGAUUUUUUUUAAACCUGUGAUUUAUUUACAGAAAAGUCUUAGUUAAGGGAAAUGGAGGCUAGUACCUUCAUUGCAACUUACAGACUUAGUUACCUAGUUACCACCGCAGAAUUCACCUAAUCGGCUGGGCUGUCCUAGCACUCAUACCCAAGAAC
rnacentral:lncRNA from 1 species